UUAAAAAACAACAAAAUAAUUAACCACCAGUACAGCCCUGUGUUUUUUUUCUCUUUGGCAGCCCCUCAGAGACGCAGUUUCCCAUCACUUGACUUCCAGACCAAGCAGCACCAGCAAUAACCAGCAGCUCUGCCAUGGCUGAGCUGCAGCAGCCCUGGGCCAGGACACACACAGCCCCCAGGACAGCGGAUUGCAGAGUGUUUUGUGGCUUGUGGUUGCACAGAGCAGAGGGGCUGUGGACCCUUCUGAACCAAACUUUUAUUAGACCAGUGUGACUGCAGCUGAGUGAUCUUCACACAACUGGGAGAGCCUCCUGGGGUAGGUGUGUCAACAUACUGUCUUGGUCUGAGAGUGGCAAAGAUUUUCCUCCCUUAAGGCCUGAACCCAAGGCUGGGUGGUAGAAAAUACUGCUGGCCAUGCUCAGACGAGAGGUGAAUUCUCUCCAGCAGACUGGUGCCCAACAGGCCCUGCAGCCACAGCGGGCAGGGAGCAGACACUGAUGGGGCUUCUUCAACUGCACCAGGAGUGAUGGUUUUAAACUAAACCAGAUUUAGACUAAAGAACAUUUUUUUUACAAUGUGUGUGGUGAGGCCCUUUGGUUGCCCAGAGAAGCUGUGGCUGCCCAGGCCCUGCAAGUGUCCAAGGCCAGGCUGUGGAAGGUGUCCCAGCCCACAGCAGAGGGGUUGGAACUGGAUGGCCUUUAAAGAUCC
rnacentral:lncRNA from 1 species